GCAGUUUUCAUGACUGAUAGCCCUACAGGUAAAAUGUCUGGAAUGCCUUUCGCGUGGCGGGGGUGGCGAGAGGCAAUUGGAACACGAGCAGAACCUGCAUGGUUGUGUGGGAAGAGGAUGAAACAGUUUGAAGCAAACAAGUGGCCAAGAGUCACUUAACUGUGGUUCCUGGGACUUGAAUUUCUGAUGAUGAUGUCAUCGUAUGUGGAGAAAUGAAUCAGAUCUCACCUCGAGUUGAGAUGGAUGUCAAAACGCCUUAAGAUGGAUUCAAAUAGGCUUGUGUGAGGAUGCUGUGAGGAGCUUCGUCAAUAUACCACUAGAGGGUGACAUCAUAACAAGUACAAGGUAAA